rnacentral:rRNA from 1 species
CCUACGGGAGGCAGCAGUGGGGAAUAUUGCACAAUGGGGGAAACCCUGAUGCAGCGACGCCGCGUGAGUGAAGAAGUAUUUCGGUACGUAAAGCUCUAUCAGCAGGGAAGAAAAUGACGGUACCUGACUAAGAAGCCCCGGCUAACUACGUGCCAGCAGCCGCGGUAAUACGUCGGGGGCAAGCGUUAUCCGGAUUUACUGGGUGUAAAGGGAGCGUAGACGGCAGCGCAAGUCUGGAGUGAAAUCCCAUGGCUUAACCAUGGAACUGCUUUGGAAACUGUGCAGCUAGAGUGCAGGAGAGGUAAGCGGAAUUCCUAGUGUAGCGGUGAAAUGCGUAGAUAUUAGGAGGAACACCAGUGGCGAAGGCGGCUUACUGGACUGUAACUGACGUUGAGGCUCGAAAGCGUGGGGAGCAAACAGGAUUAGAUACCCCUGUAGUC